rnacentral:rRNA from 1 species
UACGUAGGGGGCAAGCGUUGUCCGGAAUCAUUGGGCGUAAAGAGCGCGUAGGCGGUCCGAUAAGUCGGCUGUGAAAGUCCGGGGCUCAACCCUUGAAAGCCGGCCGAUACUGUCGGACUAGAGUUCGGAAGAGGCGAGUGGAAUUCCCGGUGUAGCGGUGAAAUGCGCAGAUAUCGGGAGGAACACCAAUGGCGAAGGCAGCCCGCUGGGACGUGACUGACGCUGAGGCGCGAAAGCGUGGGGAGCAAACAGG